UACGUAGGGUGCGAGCGUUGUCCGGAAUUACUGGGCGUAAAGCGUGCGUAGGUGGUGAGUUAAGUCUGUCGUGAAAGCCCCGGGCUCAACCUGGGAAUGGCGAUGGAUACUGGCUCGCUAGAGUGCGGUAGAGGAGAGUGGAAUUCCCGGUGUAGCGGUGAAAUGCGCAGAUAUCGGGAGGAACACCAAUGGCGAAGGCAGCUCGCUGGGACGGUACUGACGCUGAGACGCGAAAGCGUGGGGAGCAAACAGG
rnacentral:rRNA from 1 species